AGUGAGGAAUGUGGGCUGAGGUCAGGUCAGGUCAGGUCAGGUCACUGAUACGGGUGGAUAGCUGUGAAUUAGUGAGGUAUAUGGGCCGAGGUCAGAUCAGGUCAGGUCAGGUCACUGAUACGGGUGGAUAGCUGUGAAUUAGUGAGGUAUAUGGGCCGAGGUCAGGUCAGGUCAGGUCACUGAUACGGGUGGAUAGCUGUGAAUUAGUGAGGUAUAUGGG